GCCCGUCUAUGACGGGACGUAUUAUGGUAUACCCCGCGUCCGUCUGUCCGUCCGUCCGUCUGUCCGUCCGUAUGUCUGUUAAUGUCGUACGCUACGUCAAAUAUCCUUUGACAGAUUUUCUUCAAAUUUUAACACAAUCUUAAUAUUGAUAAACCCUGAUCCCCUUUCGUUUUUGACGGAAUUCUGAAUUGUCGUUCCAGAGUUAUGGGACUUUGUUCGUCAAAAUUUCGUGAUUUCAUUGAAUGUCCUACUGUAGCUAUAUAAAAAUGUUAAAGUUGUUAUAACUUUGGUAUGCUUGGACCUAGAGUCUUGAAACUUGACAUGAAGGUUGGCCAGAACUAGUAAGUAACCCCUGGACAUUUCAAGGUCAUUCAUUUGAAGGUCAAGGUCACUGUGACCUUGAAUGUAAAAAUGUUAAAGUUCUUAUUUCAUGUUAUAACUUUGGUAUGCUUGUACCUAGAGUCUUCAAACUUGAAAUAAAGAUUGGCCAGUACUAGAAGAUGACCACUGGUCAUUUCAAUGUCAUUCAUUUGAAGGUCAAGGUCACUGUGACCUUAAAUGUUAAAAUGUUAAAAUUGUUAUAACUUUGGUAUGCUUGGACAUAGAGUCUUCAAACUUGACAUGAAGGUUUGCAAGCACACUUAGAUGACCACUGGUCAUUUCAAGGUCAUUCAUUCUAAGGUCAAGGUCACACAAGGUCACUGUGACCUUAAAUGUUAAAAUGUUAAAAUUGUUAUAACUUUGGUAUGCUUGGACAUAGAGUCUUCAAACUUGACAUGAAGGUUUGCAAGCACACUUAGAUGACCACUGGUCAUUUCAAGGUCAUUCAUUCUAAGGUCAAGGUCACUGUGACCUUAAAUGUUAUUGUUGUUCAUGUAUCCUACCGUAGCUCAAAUAUCCCCCGAUGGAUUUUUUAUACGCCCGUCUAUGACGGGACGUAUUAUGGUAUACCCCGCGUCCGUCUGUCCGUCCGUCCGUCCGUCCGUCCGUCCGUCCGUCUGUUAAUGUCGUACGCUACGUCAAAUAUCCUUUGACAGAUUUUCUUCAAAUUUUAACACAAUCUUAAUAUUGAUAAACCCUGAUCCCCUUUCGUUUUUGACGGAAUUCUGAAUUGUCGUUCCAGAGUUAUGGGACUUUGUUCGUCAAAAUUUCGUGAUUUCAUUGAAUGUCCUACUGUAGCUCAAAUAUCCUUCGAUGGAUUUUUUUCAAAUUUCAACACAAUCUUAAUAUUGAUAAACCCUGAUCCCCUUUCGUUUUUGACGGAAUUCUGAAUUGUCGUUCCAGAGUUAUGGGACUUUGUUCGUCAAAAUUUCGUGAUUUCCAUGCUCAUGUACUUAUAAAAUAAACCAUGUAUUCAAAUACAAAUAAACUGAAGUAAAAAAAUGA